AUUGAACGCUGGCGGCAUGCUUUACACAUGCGAGUCGAACGGCAGCGCGGGCUUCGGCCUGGCGGCGAGUGGCGAACGGGUGAGUAAUGCAUCGGAACGUGCCCAGUAGUGGGGGAUAGCCCGGCGAAAGCCGGAUUAAUACCGCAUACGACCUGAGGGUGAAAGCGGGGGACCGAAAGGCCUCGCGCUAUUGGAGCGGCCGAUGUCGGAUUAGCUAGUUGGUGGGGUAAAGGCUUACCAAGGCGACGAUCCGUAGCUGGUCUGAGAGGACGACCAGCCACACUGGGACUGAGACACGGCCCAGACUCCUACGGAGGCAGCAGUGGGGAAUUUUGGACAAUGGGGGCAACCCUGAUCCAGCCAUGCCGCGUGCGGGAAGAAGGCCUUCGGGUUGUAAACCGCUUUUGUUCGGGAAGAAAUCCUCUGGGCUAAUACCCCGGGGGGAUGACGGUACCGGAAGAAUAAGCACCGGCUAACUACGUG
rnacentral:rRNA from 1 species